UACGUAGAAGACUAGUGUUAUUCAUCUUUAAUAGGUUUAAAGGGUACCUAGACGGUAUUAAUUAGUCUUUAACAGGAAACGGUUAUACUAGAGUUAUAUAAUGAGGAGGUGAGUAUUUGUGGAGUAGAGUUGAAAUUCUUUGAUACCAUGAAGACUGGUAAAGGCGAAAGCAACCUUUUAUCUAAUAACUGACGUUGAGGGACGAAGGCUCGGGUCGCGAACAG
rnacentral:rRNA from 1 species